GUUUAAAAACAAAAUGGAGAACGGACGAACGGACGAACGGAGAGAAGUUGUUCUUGCGGAGCGCACCGUUUUCCUUGCUUCAGUCUGUAUCUUAAAGACAACAAUAAUGGUUCCUGAACUAGGCAUAACUACAUCAAAUGUUAUUUCUUCGGGAACAAGAUUGGAAGGCGCUACUGCCUAUUUUAUUGGCCAAUUUGAUGGAAGGAUAGUCGAUUUACCAAUUUCGAGUCCUGCACCUGUGAUGCGGCGAACAGUUCUACCUUUUAAACGACUACUUUUAUGCCCGAUUUCAAUAAAAUUACAGAGAAUGUAUGGAGGAUUGUAUGCUCUCAAGCGAACAAAAGUGCAAUGUCCAAGGAACAAUCAUAGGGCUUUCUCUGACAUCGUUUGAACGGAAAGUGUAUCACUCGAAUGGCAAGGGGUUUUUUCGAGUCCUGCAUCGUGAGCCCAAAAUCUCUGAAACGAGAAAAUUUGAUAAAAUGUGAUGUCUCCCCACAUUUCCUUAUAAUAAAUGGCAGCCAUUUUGACAUUGUAUGUGCACUAUUACGCAUGCGUGGCGGCCAUUUUGUCUCUUAUUUCUGGGAAUGAAGAAGCACAAUGCUUACUAGAUAUGGCAAUCUUCAAGAAUGCAUUCUUGGGUACUUUAAAGCAGGUUACACUUAUAAAAAGAUAGUCUUUUUCAUUGGAACUAUCUAUGGAGUGUUUAUGACAGUUAGAUAGUUACGUUACUUAUUAUACAAAGUGUAUGGUAAAUACAGAAAAGGAAACAGUUCUCCCGAGUGGCAAAUUCGUUAUGCAAUAACAACUGAGCAAGGCGGACCAGCAAAAUUAGUGGGAUAUCGUUCAAUGGCAAGAUUCUAUGACAGAAGUAUAACCUAAGUGUUUCUAGAGACAAAGUAAUGAGUUUGCUACGUGAGCUUGACCCUGAAGGGUGCGCCUCCCGUCGAAGAAAACGUUUAACACGCUGCAUCUACAGAUGCUCGGGGGCAAAUUCUGUCUGGCACAUUGAUGGAUAUGAUAAGCUCAAACCAUUUGGAUUUUAUGUCAGGGGAUGCAUUGAUAACUACUCUUGGAGAAUUAUGUUUUUAGAAGUUGGCUCCACUAAUAAUGAUCCAAAAAUUGUUGCUGGAUACUAUCUUGAAUGUGUGAAAGCAAUGGGAGGAUGUCCAAGGUUAGUACAAACUGACUGCGGAACUGAAAACGGAAUUAUUGCUAGUUUACAGUUUUUCGAGGGCAAGACCGAGUUAGUCACAGAUAUGGGUCCUCCACAUCAAACCAACGGAUAUAAUGCUGGUGGUCUAUCUGUCGGUUCAGAAGUGAAUGGUGGAUAGGUCUCUUCAAAGAUUAAGUCAGCUAUGGAGCAUUUACUAGUGGCAAUCAGAAACAUAUGAUGUGCUUACAAUUCUGUUUCAUGGACCUUAUUCAAAAAGACCUCGAUGAAGUGGCAGAACUAUGGAACAGUGACACCAUAAGGCGUAGCAGAAUGGCAGAAUGUCCACCGGGUACUCCUGAUGAGUUGUACUUUUUGCCAGAAAAUUCAGGUGGAGACAACAAGAAAGUCCAGUUAUCGACUGAAACUUUGAAAUUGUCAGAAGCCUUCGUCGAAGGCAGGGUUUCAUGUUGCGGAAACGUGGGUUGAAGAGUACUUGGACUAUAUCAUGUAUAUGAAUGCUCUACAGAAACCAAGUAAUUGGGACAAAGCCUUGGAAAAUUAUUUUCUGUUGAUACAAACAGCAGAAAUGUAGUUAUGUAUUCUUUGACGUCCAGAUGAGUUACGACUGCCGAAACAGACAGCAACAGUGUAAUAUUGCAUACUUCCAUGUCAAUCAUUUUUGUGUUUUGGCUUGAAAACUCGCACUGUUUAGUCAAAAAAAUUUCGCGCUUCUAGCAAGCUGAUUUGCAGAAAACUAACGGAUGAUGACAAACUUUAAAUGAUACUUGGACUACAAAAAUACAUUGGGAAACAAGUUAACUGGGAAGAUGCGCCAUAUCAUGUUUGUUCGUUAGUUAUGCAUAACAACCACGCUGUUAUUUUAUUGUGCUAAACAUUAUUCUUCCAAAUACAGCAGCACUUGCUAAACAUAAACAACUGUUAACUCUUAUUUAAGUAUGCCAAUGGUAAUCGCUAUACAGUAAAACCCAACGUAUCCA